UGGCGACCCGUGUCAUGGGAGCGGGUUUCUGUUACGUGGGCUUUAGCGCGAGCUGGGCGGUCGGCCCGGUCCCACCGAACUGCAUAGGGCCGUGUAGCCGGGGGAAGUCAGCCCCCUGCUCUGAGAAGCAGACUCUCCAUCUGUAAAAGGCUAAGGGUGCCCACUGGGGCCUGUGGUCAGGAUUGGCGGGAGUAAAGUCCGCAAAGCCCCUACCGCAUCCUGCGCCUUUGUUAGGGUGAGCAGUCAUGGGGACUCGCACUGUGCCACCAGGUAGCGGGUCUCACUGGGUCCGCUUGUCUGCUCGAGGAGACAGCCCGUGAGGACGGGGGCUCGCCUGCUUUGCUCACCGCUGUAGCCUCAGCCUCCGCCCGUAUCCACAAUCAUCUUCAAUCCAGAGGGUUUUCCUUGUUCCAGGAAACGUUUCACCUCCAUGUGAAGAUUUAAUUUUUACAGAAAUGGAAAUUUCCCUCAUUUAUUAUCUAGAUGAACCCCUAAAAUCUAUUCAAUAAGGUUUGAUCUUUGAUGGAAUAGACCAGAGUUGUAUAAUGUGACAGCGGCCCCAAGGAACAGUUUGUAGGAAGAGAUCGUUGUCUUCUCUGAAAACAACUUUCCAGAAGACACUGAUGGUUCCCUUAGGUGCCCUGCAGUGGGUCCACUUCCAACAGGCUGAGGCCUGGAUUUGGUGGGUGAGGGUCCUACCUUUUCCUAGAUGCCAUUCAGCAUCACUGAAGCCAGUAAACUCACCUCCCGAGGAACCGUUACCAUCUCUACUAUUUACACCCAUGGCAUGAGUCUGCUGCUCAAGAACUUUGAUGAGAAUCUUGAAAAGAAAACCAUGAAUCGUUGGAGAAAAUAUCUUU
rnacentral:antisense_RNA from 1 species